UUUAUCGGACCAUUAUAUCCCUAUGAGUAAGCUAUAAUUUGCCUUAUUACAAUAAUGAAAUUUAUGUUUACGUGUAAAAAUCCUGCAAAAAGAUUUUGAAAAGAAUAAUAAUAAUAAAGCCAAUUAUCCCAAAGAGUAAAGUAGAUUUCUUGCAACUGAAAGUACUUUUCUUGAGCUUCUCUCUUUGGUUUCUUCUCAGUCUAAUCGAAAACAUCAUUCUUCGAUAUUCAUUUACUGAAGUUUUGAGUGAAGAAAAACCCUAGAAAUAAGUACAAUUUUUCUUUAAUAGGUUGAAAAUCUAUGGCUGUUGAGUCCUCGCCGCCUUCUGCGACAGACUUCGCUUUCUCCACGGUUUCGCUUUCAUCCGACUGACUAGGAAGUCGUAAGCUAUAACUUGAAGAUAAACGUUCUGGGUAAACCCGUACACUUCGAUGCAAUUGGGGAGGUUGAUAUCUACAAGCAUGAGCCUUGGGACUUAGAAGUUUGGUCUCUUAACUCAAUUAUGGGAAAAGAGCUUAGCUUUAUGGACUGAAUUCCUUUUCUGGAGAAGUUUCGUUAAAGAUUUACCCUUUUGCUAUGUUUAGACUAUAAAACUUUGACGUAAAUUGACUUAUUAAUUGUAUAAAUCUAGUAAUUUUUGGCAGAUUCCUUAAGAGUUUCUUGCUAUGUUUGCUUGUGUUUCAGGGAAUGAAGCUUUGUUGCUUUGUGGUUAGCCAUUACUCUGAGGUUCAUUCCAAUUCUAGUCUAUUGAUUGCUUUUUCAAUUAUAUUGAUCUAAGAACUGUUUUCUUUGUUGUUACUUCGUGUUAGUGUUAAUAACAAUUUGACUUGAAUAGCAGAUAAUUGUUACAAACAUUAAAUCAGUUUUUCGGAUAGUUUGUCAACAUUACACGGCAAUUAGAAUGUUAACCAUCUCCAGCAUUACUUGACCAUAUUGCCGUUGUAGCUGGGGUAUCAAAAUUAUUGUCUAGAUAAUAUUAUAUUUACCAUUUAGCAAUACAGAAAAGAAUUACUUUUCAGGAACAAAUUCCAUCAAUAUAGCCCUGCUUAAUUGUUAAUUGCAUAUUUUGUCUGAAAAUAAGAACAUGUUUUUCGUUUCGCAAAAUGUUGUUGAAGCUUUUGAUGAAAUGGAUAGUCUCGUUAGAAUGCAUCCUUGUCUCUUUCAAUCUCCAUUAGCUACAAACAUUCUUUAAAACACUUUUAAAAGGCUCACCUAUGAUCUCUGCACAAAGAAUGUGGUUUCUUUGUAUUAAGUUCUUGAAAACGAUAGGUGUAGCUUAUGCUUCAGCUGUUUAGUUAUCUCGAGAGUGGGUGUUGUGAUUUGCUCGGAGAUCAUGGUCUCAACCAUUUUCUUCUGGUAUGUUGAAUCUUUUAAGCUAGCUCAUCAAGAGAUUGCAAUGUGUGAAUUAUCGUUUUUUUGUGUUAGAUACCAUCACCACAUAGAGACGAAGAUGAUCAAGAAAGGAAUGUGUAUUUUUAUAACACGGAGUGUGUCUUUAAAGGCAUACAUUAUUAGCUCAAAAGUAGUAACUGAGGAAGAGCUUUAAAUCACUCUUCGAGCUGCAAAGGAAGGAAUAUAUUCGCUCCAACGGAAUUUAGAUGCAUCAAGCGAUUUGUAUUUAUGUGUUAAAAUUUUGAUUAAUUUUCUAAAAAGUUGUUUAGCGCGAUAAACAAAUAGUUGAAAGUCACUUACAGAUUUAUUCUAGACAAUAAAAGUUUUAGCCAGAUA